rnacentral:lncRNA from 1 species
GACUCUAAAUUCGGACCCCUAAGAGAGCUUCCUAUUCGCACAAGAUAUUUGCUAUCUAGUCGAGAAUUGGAAAGACAAUUAAAGUGAGGUCUCCUAGGUGAGGCUUAGACUUUGGAUCUAAGACACACUCACCGACUACUCAAUUUUAGGUUGUGAGACUUCUUUGAGUCUAGUUACAAAUGAGGGAAGAUCACUUGUGAACUCUAGCACCUCACUUGCUUGGAUUUGGAACUUACAACCAAAGAAAUCAAUGGAAAUUACAAAAGCAAUUGGAUGAAUUGGAAAAGGAAAUUAAACUAGACUAAGGAAUUGAUAUGUGCAGCUUUGGUUGCUCUCAAAGAACUUGAAUCUGCU